rnacentral:lncRNA from 1 species
AUUCAAUCAUUAUACAACAUAUCCUUUUCUCAUUUACCAGCCUACUAGUAUCCGUGGGGGUCCAUAGGGGUUCCGCUACCCGUUAAUCUUUAACAUUCAUAAUCAGUUUCCAGGGCCGUCCCCAUACCCCGUCCGGUAUGGGCGCCAAAACCAUGAACCUCAAUACCCCGUCCGGUAUGAGGGUGAAACGGGCCGUCCCCAUACUCCGUCCGGUAUGGGCGCCAAAACCAUAAGAUCUCCAUACCCCGUCCGGCAUGUGAGACCACAAUCCCGGUAGGGUUCUCUACGGACCCGGUCCGUCCACCAUCUCCCAGGAUAUCUAGUCAGGCUAACCCCAUCAUACAAUUAUCAGUCUACACAAUCCUUCAUUUUCCUUUUCCUCAAUAAGCAUCAUCAAUUCACAUACAAACAAGCAAACAGUAGUUCAUGCCAAACAGACAACAUACAGUAUCGGUUUUUCA